UACAGAGGGUGCAAGCGUUAAUCGGAAUUACUGGGCGUAAAGCGCACGUAGGCGGUUUUUUAAGUCAGAUGUGAAAGCCCCGGGCUCAACCUGGGAAUUGCAUUUGAAACUGGGGAACUAGAGUAUGUGAGAGGGGGGUAGAAUUCCAAGUGUAGCGGUGAAAUGCGUAGAGAUUUGGAGGAAUACCAGUGGCGAAGGCGGCCCCCUGGCACAAUACUGACGCUGAGGUGCGAAAGCGUGGGGAGCAAACAGG
rnacentral:rRNA from 1 species